UAGAUAUACGCUUCAGUCCGCUUCAGGUCGCAACGAGUUGGAAAAAAUAUGUCGCGACGAAGAUUUUUCAGGAAAAUACUUGUCUGUGGUCAAGGCAUAUAAAUGCGUGCAGUGCGUGCACUUGUUUCAUUUUAAAUUUUAAGCGUGUAGCCUGUAGUCGUGUAAAUCGCAACGUUAUUAAAAGCAUUUGUUUAAUAUUGUGGUAAAACAGACAGUAAAAAUUAAAAAGAUGUCUGAUAAUCGAAAAAAGCUUUCUGGAGCACAGUACAGAAAACGAAAGCGUGAAAAAGAAGAAUGAACUAAAAAGGCUUGCAGUUCACUCCAAGCGUUUUUAAUCCCAAGAAGAUCACAUGACAAACCAUCAAAUUCCCAAGCCCGAGAUGAAAAUGUGACGGAGACUAUAUGUAUAAUGGUCAAUAGCGGAGAAGAGAAGGAGAACUCAUCGAAUACCAAAACUAUAGUGUAAGGUGAUGUUUUAUUAGCAGAACAAGGAUCUGAAGUAAGCUUUGAAAAUAUUAAUGUCUAUAAGGAUCCUGGCUAUUGGCCAAAUGUUUUAUUGGAUAAAAUUAAAUUAACUCUGAUAGAGUUAGGGCCUACGCAACUAACGAAGGCUGAUAUGACGUUUCCUUUAAAUAAAGACAAUAGAGGAUUCUCAUCUAUUUAUUAUUAAAAAAAAUGUGUAAUGGAGAAAUAAUUCCGAGGGUUGGGCUAGUAUAUUCUAAAUCAAAAGAUUGUGUAUAUUGUUUCCCUUGGAAAAUAUUUAAAACUUUUUCUGGUGGUAGUGGUUUGGUUGAGGGUUAUAACGAUUGGAGACAUUUAAGUCAACUUAUAGAAAGACAUGAAAAGUCAAAGGGGCAUAUUUGUAAUGCAAAAUCUUGGCUUGAUUUAAAACAAUCAAUUUCUUCUAAAACGACAACUGAUUCACUAAACGAGAAAUUAAUAAACAUGGAAAAAGAUAGAUGGGUUUCUUUUGAAAAUUAUAAUUUAUGUUGUCAAGUGUUUAGCCGGUCAAAAUUUGAGUUUAAGAAGUGAAAAUAACAAGACAUACGAGCAACAAAACGGAAACUUUUUAAAAUUAAUCGAAACAAUUGCCAAUUUUAAUGAAACAAUAUGCGAUCACAUUAACAGGAUUAAAAGAACUCCAUCAAAUAUGCCUCAUUAUUUAGGUGUUCAUAUUCAAAAUGAAUUAAUUUUCCUUCUGGGAGAGCAAAUAAGACAUGACAUUAUAUCUAUGUUAAAUGCUAGUAAAUAUUUUUCAAUUAUUUUGGAUACGACUCCUGACGUGAGUCAUCAAGACCAACUAACUAUUGUAAUAAGGUUUGUUUUAUUAAAUAAUACAUCAAAGGAAAUCGAAAUUAGAGAGCAUUUUUUGGGAUUCAUUUCAAUAUCAGAUUCGACAGGACAAGGCUUAACUAAUGUUUUAUUGGAUUUUUUGGAGACUCAUAACAUUUGUUUAGGCGAUUUAAGGGGUCAGGGAUAUGAUAAUGGAGCGAAUAUGAAGGGUCGCAAUAAUGGUUUACAAAAAAAAAUUAUUGAAUUGAACCCUAGAGCUUUUUACGUGCCUUGUGCAGCCCAUAGCUUAAAUUUUGUUGUUAAUGACGCUGCAAAAGUAUCUUUAGAAAUUACAAGUUUCUUUGCUAUUGUGCAGGAACUUUACGUUUUUUUCUCCGCAUCAACUAAACGUUGGCAAGUUUUAAAAGAUGGAAUCCCAACGUUAACACUAAAACCUCUUUCUAGUACUAGAUGGGAAAGCCGAAUAGAUGCUCUGAAAGUUCUUAGACAUAAUUUAAUAAUAAUAACAGGGACUCCGAUACCAAAACUAUGGCUAAUUCAUUACUCUUAAAAAUGAAGUCGUUUAAAUUUAUUUGUUCCAUUAUUAUAUGGUAUAAUGUGUUAACAAAAAUUAAUAUUGCAAGUAAAGUGAUGCAGGAAUCCGAUGUUGCCCUACCUAAUAUUAUUUUAAUCUUAAAACAGACUAAAACAUAUAUAUCUAGUAUUAGAUCAGACGAAGGUUUCACUGAUAUUUUAGAGGAGGCCAAAAAAGUUGCCGAAGAUAUUGAUUGCGACCCUUCGUUUCCUCCAAUUAAUAUUGUUAGACCCCGAACAAAAAAGCGUUUAUUUGACUAUGAGUGUGUAGACGAGGCCCCUAAAAAUCCAGUUGAUCAGUUUAAAAUUAAUUUUUAUUUUGUUAUAUUAGAUACAUUAUUAAAAUUGGAAGAAAGAUUCGAGCAAAUGAAGCAACAUGAUACGUUGUUUAAUUUUCUUAACAACCUACAUAGCUUUCUCCAAACAGAAAAAUCAAUUAGGUUUGCAAAAUGUGAAGCUCUUGAGAAAAUUUUACAAGAUUUAUCUGAUGAAAUUGAUAAUGUUGCACCCUAUAUUUCCUCUGAAAUGAAUGCCUUAAAUGUUCUUACCUACCUAUUUGUAAAUAACCUCAUCUAUGUUUUUCCCAAUUUAGUAAUUUCCAUUAGAAUUUUCUUAACAUUACCUGUCACAGUAGCUAGUGAAGAAAGAAGCUUUUCUAAACUCAAAAUAAUAAAAAAUUAUUUACGAUCCACAAUGGGUCAAGAGAGGCUUUCUGACUUAUCAAUAAUUAGUAUUGAAAAAGAAAUUGCAGAAAAUAUAGAUGUGUCUAACAUUGUUAAAACAUUUGCAUUAAAAAAAGCGAGAAAAUCAAACUUGGAUAAUCAUUGGAUAUGUUAGCUACCUGCCCCUUUAUGUAUACAUGUACAUAUUAUAAAGUGCAUGUUGCGUAUGUAAAUAAUAUGUAUGUAUGUAUUUAAUUACAACUUAAAUGUAUGUAUAUUAAUUAAAUGUUUGUAUUUAAUUACAACUUAUUUGUAAAUACAUUACAUUACAAAUAAAUUGUAAAUAAAAUUAUGAUUUAAUAUAAAAUAAAGUGUUUAUGUUUCUAAAA